GAGCUGAAGCAGGACUAAAAGACUCAGAAAGCCUGACAUGUCCUCCCUGUAUAGAGGUCAGCUUCAUUAUCGACCGCAUGACUAGAUGCUCUCCCAUCUGUGUCCAUGCUGCUGAACAGUAUGUCUGCUGUAAGGGUACUGGAGCCACAGACACCCCAGUGGGACUGCCUGGGCACACCCCACCAUGAAGGAAUAAAGACCUUCAUUCAGACAGCCAUGUAACAUAAUUCUCCUCUUUCCUCUCUUUCCCACUCUAUUUAUCACGUGUCCUUGGGCCAGAGUGCGUGUCCUUGGGCCAGAGUGCGUGUCCUUGGGCCAGAGUGCGUGUCCUUGGGCCAGAGUGCGUGUCCUUGGGCCAGAGUGCGUGUCCUUGGGCCAGAGUGCAUGUCCAUAUAGAGGCUGAACUGAAGGAGACUAUAAAUAGAACACAAUGCUUUUGGCUGGCUCCUGUUACACCACUGCAAGUAGUAACAACAACUAGAGAACCCUACGUCACCCAGUGUACCUACUAGCUAUAACCUCUUCAGAGGAGCUAUAACCUUUCUUCUGGGCUGUAGUAUGUCAGGGUGUGUAAUACUAUUUUAAUAGUAAAUCAGUAGUACUACUUGCAAGGUGGCGUCAUGCUUGUAACGUGUGUUCCUGUGUGCCUGCCAUCUCAUCAUUAACAUGGCCCUAUUCUCUCCCUGUUCAGUAGGCCCUGACGACCUUUACAUUGUUGAACCUUUAAGGUUCUCACCAGAGAAAAAGAAGAAACGAUGUAAACUGAAGGCAGCAUUAUCAGCCCCCUCUUCUCCGAUGGCUAACGGGGGACUCAAAUGCAAUGGUCUCCCCCACUCCCUGAAUCCCCCUCCUCCUUUAGAAGACAUGUCCUGUAAGGAGCUCCCCUUCCCAUCAGAGAAUAGCAGCUGUAGCUCCUCCAGCCACUCUGAAGAGUCCUACAUCAGCCGAGGCCAUCCCCUCUCCUCCCCCCCAGGCCUGUGUAAUGGCCACGCUGCCGUGCUCCUCCCAUCCAACCUUCCCUCCCUCCCUCUCCCCUCCUCCCUUCCCUCCCUCCCCCUCUCUCUUCCCUCUAAGAGGUCAGUGAAGCGUCGGCGGUCUCGUCAGGGAGAUCUGCAGUUCUCCUCCAGACAGACAGGAGGCGCUGCUGUGAAUGCUCUGCACAGCCUGCAGCAGCUGAUCAAGGGAAACAAGGAGAUCAGUGUGGGGACCAUAAGAGCCACGGCAGUCACAGGACGCGUCUGAUCACACACACAUGCACACUUCAGACUGACUCAUAUACACACACCCUGGUAGCAGACUUGGUUAGGGAUGUGUGAAAGAGUGUGGUCUUGCCCCAAAAUGGCCACAUCUCUGAACCACAUCUCCCAUGAGCACCCUGCCCACAGUGGAACUCGAACACCAUGAUAUUAGUCACCUAGCAACAGCCAUUCAGAGACCUCUCCACGGUCAUGUGCCUUUCUGUCCACUCUAAAGCUUUCACUGAUAUAAAAAACACUGAAAGGAUUGUUAUUUUUAUGUUCGGAGCGAGACUAAUGGUGGGGAGUGUUACUAGAAAACAGACAUUCAUUCAGCUGUUUCUACUGGACAAGCACAUCAGACCUGGGCAGCAGGGUCUUGUACUCCAGCCCUGUGCCCAGAGGAGAGGGGCUGAGUGGAGCUCUUACCCGGUACCUUGUGAAAGUACAGUAUGAAGCUGUAAGGAUGAAAUGUGUCGCAGUGAGAGAACUGUGCAGCAGGAUUAGCUUCUUCUCCCUCUUUCCUCCUGUCCUCCAUUUCUACAUUCUGUUUAUUUUCUGUGCAUUGUUCAGUGCUAGCUAACACUACUGCAGUUGUUCGUAUGGGACCAGGGUGUUAACCCUUCACACACAACAGGCCCUCUGUCUCCCUUUCUCAGGCAGUCUAACCUAACUCCACGCAACUAGCAGAGCUGAAUGAAGAUACAUACCCAAUGUGUGCGUGAGCAUGUAAGCCUUCCUGUCUCUAGCCCAUGUUUAUCCAGCUCUGAUACAAAGGAACAGGCUCUAUACCUCUUGAACUCGUUAACCUAGCUAUUCUCCAGUCAGACUUCCUGUGUGUGUGUGUUCGUUCACACAGAGAGCCAGCCAAGAGGAAAGGGAUCUUGUACUCUAUAGACUGGUUGUUUUUGCACAUUGUGACAGGUCAACAUAACCCAGUCAGUUAGGUUUUUAUAUUGAGCUGUGUAUGAGCCGUGCUGAGAGCUGAAUGUUGUGUGUUAUUAUAGUUGUUAAGAACAGUUUAGUCUGAAGAUGUCGGUGUGUUCGAGCACACAAACACCCGCUGUUGGUAGAAGUUGCCUCUAGGAUCUGCUUUCCUUCCCCCCCAAUUCCUAAUAUUAACCAUUCAUAUCAACAGUGUAAUGCAACACUGACCUUUCGAUCAGUGACACAGGGUAAUGUCAGUCUUGCGAGCAGAUCCCCUGAGGUCCUGUAGGGGAUGCUGUGAGGCCACUUUUAUUUAUCUAGUUAUUUAUGUUCUGGCCUCAAAACAACCCUAUCAUGUAGCCCAGGGGAAACGCAUGGUACAUGUUACAUAGAAUAAUGAUUGCAAUUAAAACAAAGGUAGAUGCAUUUUACUGUCGCAUACUGUAUGAUUGUCACUGGCUGCCCGACACCUCUUUCACCUCGUGACCAAUAUUUGUUUGGGGUUUUCAAAGCUAUACGGACAACAAGGUAUCAUCCACCUUUUGUCUCUGUAAAAGUGGUUUGAUCAUCUGGUGUUUGCAGAGUUGCCUCCACUGUCACACCUGCACACACACCAUCACGUGUUAAUUAGAACCCUACCAGGGAACAGAGGGCUGUAACAGUCCCAAUAACUGCUGGGGUCGUAUACGAACCAGCUUCACCUCACGAGUUACUGUUAUGGGGAGAUAAAGUUAAAACAAAUGUUUGAAGUUGAUUUGUUUGUCUGUCUCUAGAUGUCUGUGAGAGGAUGUGAUUGGAAUGGCAAAAGUCAAUUUGAAUAAGUUGCAGGUGUGAAAUCAUCUGUACUAUAUAUCUGUGCCAGUGGUUAGAUGGCCUCUGAGCUAUGUUGGGUUGGUUGUUGACUGACUGAGACUGGGCCCACUGUAUUCUACAAACCACACACACCACACUCCCUCUACAGUAUACCUCCAUUACCUCUACAGACCAACCACCCAGGUCCCCUACUCCACACACUGACCUCUGACCCCUACACAGUUCAGGGUUCAGAAAGUGUGAAGAGCUCUCUUUUAGUGCAUCUGUUUUAAUUGAACCACUUCUGUUCCCAUUACCAAGAACAGCACCUCUGCUAUCCUUACUAGCUUGUCAUUCAUUCAUGUGUUUAUUACUGUGCAUUUACCCCACCUCGAAUAAGGUAGUGGUUUUCAGAGGAGUCUGAAGGAACUUGUGAACUUAAUAAAGGGAAUGUUGGGAAAGGGUUUGGAACGCACUGUUUUAUCUGAUUACAAGUGUUCCACACCCAGUGAAUCAUGACCGACUUAGUUUUUCUACCCUUUUUGAAUGUGUAUGAUAUUAUGUGUAUGAUAUUAUGUGUAUGAUAUUAUGUGUAUGAUAUUAUGUGUAUGCAUGCAAGAGUGUUUGUUUGUUCUCUUGAUGCGUGUUUGUGAGAGACUCAGAGAAGCCCUAAUUUAACACACCGACUAGAGAUUGGUACUCAUGACCCCCAGGUCUCAGUGUGCACUAUUAUUACUACCUUCAUGCCUUUUGUUUUUCUACACUAAAUGCUGUCUGUCAACUGCUUUGCUUCUCUCUUUCUGAGUAUUCUGGGAAAGAGCUGCACAGUAUUGUGGAACAGGAGCGACAGUAACUACAAAGAUGUAGUACCAUUAGAAACUGUGAAUUUCUAAAUAAAAAUUUUGUCUUUCACUCGACUGGUUGGAGUCUGUAUUCGUUUGUGACAUUGCUCCAGGUAAAGGUUGCACAGAUCUAGGAUCAGUGGAGGUUUAUUUAUUCUCUACAGAUUCCUGCUGUGUUGAAAAGUUCUGCAUCACCAUCUUAUGGUAGAACAGCACACACUGCAAAACAACACAUGACCUGUUCAGAUGUUAACCAACUCUUGCUUUUACAAAUAGAAAAGGCUUUUUGGUAUGUAAAUUAAACAAUCCUAUUUUUCUGACCCUGGUAUUCUUUGGUUUUGGGCCAAUACUAACCUUCAUGAGCUGCUGACUGGUGUGUUUUUUUUGUUCUGAGGGGCUGACAGAGCGGUUGUAUUCCUCGACACUGUUCCACCGUCGGACUGGAGACCUCCGCUAUACACAGAGGACGCAACCUGAGAUUGGGGAUGUGAGCAUAGUGCAAGAGGGAGAGCGGGAAAAGACAUGCUAAAACCACAUCUUCCUUAACUCUGUGUGUCAGUAUAGUGUGUGUCCCUACCGCUCCCUCAGUCUCUGUCUACACAGCCACACCCUGCUCCGGUCCUGCCUCUCUCUGGCUGAGCUAUGAGGGGUCCCUGCCUGCAGCUAGGGUCAGAAAUAGUCAACAGACAUUGUCACAUUGAGCCGGGGCCAAGCUCCUGCAGUUUAUGGGUCCAAAGAGAAAAGUAUGACAAACCAAGGUUAGGGUUUGGAUUGAACAUGAGGCUAGGAUUAGAGAUGUAUUUAGGGUUUGGGUUGAAUAUAGGGCUAGGAUUAGAGAUGUAUUUAGGGUUUGGGUUGAAUAUAGGGCUAGGAUUAGGAUUCCUAAUUUAACAUUAAAGCCUGUCUGUAGUCCCUAACUCUGUAAUCGAAACAAUUAAUUUAACUAGCCCUAAUCCCCUCAUCCUAUGCUUACCGUGGUUGGUUCUGUCCCUCUGCUUGUCCGGGUGCUGCAGAGGAGAGGCCUGGGUUAUUAGUACAGGAGCCAGUCCCAUCAGGUGGGGAGCGUAGGGCCUGGGUUUACUCCUCUGGACUGGGUAUUGACUACGGACAGAUACAGGCAUCUCUAGGACGUGUGUGUUAUUACCUGUUGAUAGACAGGGCAGUCUGCUGGUAGAUCUUCCCCAGGAUGGUGGAGGAGGGACCACACAUGUUCACCAUAGACACCUGUACACAGACAUCAAUAGUUAAGAAACCAGUUAAUGAUUUUUAGGGAGUUUUAACUUUUGUUUUAUUUGUCUCUUGUUGCUGGACUGAAUCUACAAAAUAUGAAACCCCUUCAAGCUUGUUUAACAUUUUCAGGACCUCACUUUCACCUCCUCACUUCAGAGGAGCCCCGCUUGAAACACAGCCCCCGAGGUAAGACAUUCGACAAGCCCCAAAAGGGCGUGGCGAAUAAUGGUGAUUAUUAAGGUUAACAAUAUGGAUGUUAUUAUCGCCUACAAGUGUGAUGGAUUUCUACUGGAGGGUUUCCCAUACUCGGUCCUGCCCCCCUCCCCCGGAGCACGUUUUGGUUUUUGCCCUAGCACUGAUUCAAAUAACUCAUCAAGCUUUGAUUAUUUGAAUGUGUAGUGCUAGGACAAAAACAUGCACCCAGGGGGUCCAGGGCCCAGGACUAAGUUUGGGAAACACUGCUCUAGAAAGAUUUCCCUGUUGUCUUGAAUGCACUGAAGUCAGAAAUAUCUAAGUUCCCAGUUUUGUUCGCGG
rnacentral:lncRNA from 13 species